UCUUGACUAGUAUAUCGGUUUAGUACAGCCGCUUGUCAUGCGUGUUCAUAAUUCGCUUCGCGGCAGAGCUGGGUUCGACUCCCAGGUCGAGAG